GGCGAACGCUGGCGGCGUGCUUAACACAUGCAAGUCGAGCGGGGAUUGAUGAAGACUUCGGUCGGAAUCAAUUCUAGCGGCGGACGGGUGAGUAACGCGUGAACAAUCUGUCCCAGACAGGGGGAUAACACUUGGAGACAGGUGCUAAUACCGCAUAAGACCACGAAGUCGCAUGGCUUUGGGGUAAAAGAUUUAUCGGUUUGGGGUGAGUUCGCGUCCGAUUAGGUAGUUGGUGAGGUAACGGCCCACCAAGGCGAUGAUGUUUAGCGGGGUUGAGAGACUGAUCCGCCACACUGGGACUGAGAUACGGCCCAG
rnacentral:rRNA from 1 species